UCACCCUAGCCCUGGGCCCCGCCCCCGGAGGGCUGCCCCGUCAUGUGCCUGUCCCGCUCUCGCACAGAGAUACCUCCCUCCCCUCCCGCCCCUUCCCUCUAGGGCUCUCCUCCUCUCCCUCCCCACAGCCCCCUGCCCGUGCCGAGAGAGGAGAGACGAGGUCCUGGCCUUUUCCGUCAGGCGGACAGCGGGCAGCCCCGGCCCGGGGUCCUCACGGGAGCUUUAAAUACCGAGGCCCCAGCACGGACCGCGCCACGUGGAGCAGAGCGGGGCUGGUUGGGGCCACGUGCGGGCUUGCGAGCGCUGCUCAGCAGUGACCCCGCCAUGGACAAGUGGUGGGGUGCCCAGGCGGGGCUGCUGUCCCUGAGGAGAUCCCCACCGUGAUCUGACCUGGGGGAGGCUGGAGGAAUGGAGCUGUGAUACUGCCCUGCAGAGAUCGGUGGGCACUGGGGUGCAGUGAGCCCCCUGGCUGGUGCUGUGCAGUGACUGUGGGGUGGUGCUAGGGUUGGGGGGGGUAAAAAUUCGCCAAGACUAUGACCUGCCCCAUACUUCUGCAAGGACCUCCCUGCAGCCCCCAUGACUGGUGCCAAGACCCCACAUGUGCUGAGGAGCCAGGAUUCCUGGGUUCUUUUUCCAGUUGCCCCUGGCCCUGAGCCCUGCUGAUCGGGGGGUGUGGGGUUCACGUACUCUCCUUGCUGAUCCCCCUGCAGCCCCUGUCCUGCCAAUAAAGUCAUGUUAGUCUGAA